rnacentral:lncRNA from 1 species
CCACAAAGUUAAAGCCCAAGCAGAAAGCUGGGUGGAAGACAAAACAGAACACAAGCUUUCAACACAAAAGCCCAAGACAGCCCCUACAAGUUCUUUGCUCAAGGCACUGGGUGGCAGCCUUUCCCUACAGGCACAAUCUAUUCACAGGAAACUGACCAGGAUAUAUUUUUGUUGUAGGUUCCCUUCCCCCAGUCUGAGGAACAGCAUUCUUGAAAAUCCCAAAAUCAGCUCCAGAAGAGGCUGAGCAGGGAAAGGAAGUACCUACUCCCCUUGAUAAUACUCCAGCAAGUCACAAGAAACAACAACAACAAAAGAUACUCUUCCAGCAGCAGCUCUUGCACACAUCCUCACGGUAUCCAGGCUUUGGGCAAGAACACACUACUUGGUCAGCAAAGGACACCAAAUCUUACCUACUGCCUGUCCAUUUUAGACUGGUUGCUGACAUGAAAAGUAUCACAUGUACCCUGACCUCCUGUUCACUAUUCCACAGGAAAAGAAUUGUUGGAGCCAGCUUGGGAAAAAAUGCACAUUCGGCUUUUAUAGGAAACUGUGGGGCAGCACCAUGGAAGGUUGUCUGGGCCUUGGCCAAGGCCCUGGGCUUCUGUUACCCAAGGUUCAGGCAGACAAGCUGCUAACUUCAUGAGGGGACACCCACCUGACAGGGUCCCUGCAGCUUCUCUGAGCCAAGGUAACCUCAGGCCCUGGGUACUUGUAAGUAUUCCUCAUCCCCCUAGGCCAAACCCCUUUCACUUUCCAGAAAACUGCUUGCAUUUUCUGUGACAUUUUUAAAAAUUUGACAUUAAACCUAUGAUACCUGCAUUGUGCUCCUCUGGUUUGUCAACCAAUGGGAAAGAAGGAGAACAGAAGAUGAAAAGGGAGGAGAAAAGAAAGGAGGAGAGAAGACAAAACAGGGAAGACUCAGGGAAAGAGUGUUCUCAGUGUGGAAGAAUAUCAUGCAGAUAGGGAAUGGAGGAAGGCAAACCAAAACUGUGUAACCAGAUUGGGAUUGAAAGUAUCAUUAUAAAUACAUGGAAAAGAUACAUGCUCACACAGUUUUAAAUAUCUAUAUAUCUGUACACAGAUCUUCACCAACUUAUUUUGGGGUUAUGUCCUGAUAAAACUGAGUUGAAAAUAUUGUAAUCAAAAAUGUUUAACACACAUAACCUACCAAACAUCAUAGCUUAAUCUAGCCUAACUUAGACAUGUUUAGAACACUUAUAUUAGCCUAUAGUUGGACAAAAUGCAGUAGAUGACUAUUGUAUAAUAAAGUGUUGAAUAUCUAAUGUAAUUUAUUGAAAGUGUAAAACAGAAUGGUUGCAUGGCUACCUGGUAGCUGUGGCUCUCUGUCCAGCAUCGUGGGAGAAUAUCACACAUACAUGAUCAAUAUCAUGAUGUAUCAUCAUCCUGAGAAAAUAGUAAAAAUUAAAAUUUGAAAUAUUGCUCUCUCAUAUUCUGGCUUCCAAAUGACCAAGACAAGAAGGAAUGAUGGUGUGCCAAAAAGGGCCACAUGCAGCCCAUUCACUGCACCAUCUGCAAUCAUUGUGUGUCUGAGGACAGCACAAUUGAGAAGUUCUUAAUGGGAACACCGCCAGCAGGAACAUUUCCAAAGCAAGUGUCUUUGAUGUCUCUGUGCUUCCCAAGCUGUGUGUGAAAGUCCAUUACUAUGUGAACUGUGCCAUUCACAGAAAGGUGGCCAGGAAUUGUGCUGGUGAAGCACAGAAGGACUAAACACCUCACUCUGAUUUAAUCCAUGGGUGCUGUCCCACCACCUCCACCAAAGGCCAUGUAAAGGGCUAAAUCCUUAAUCAUUGAAGAAAAACUGGGGUGAAAAAAUAAUAAAAUGGAGAUUAUACUCUAAAAAAAUUUAAGUAUGAUUUCUACUGAGUAUUGCAUUCACACCAUUGUAAAGCUAAAAAAUCAUAGGUCAAACCAUUGUAAAUUGGGGACUAUCAUACUUACUAGAACUCUCUCCUCUCUUAUAUAUAUAUAUAUGUAUAGAUGUAUAUAUAACUAUAACUAUAGCUAUGUAUAUAGCUAUAUCUACAUAUCUUUAUCUGAAAUGACCUAAAAGCAUUAUUAGUAGUGCUGAGACCUUAUUUUCAUAAACAACUUUCCUGAUGUCUAUUUUUUUAUUUAUGAAUUUGAAUGGCUAAUAUAGUCACAUGUUGAGAAAUAAAAAUGUACAAAAUAGCAUACCAUGUAAAAUCUGCCUUCCAUGCCCAAUGACCAUAUAUCCCCAUUUUCCUAGUGAAGACUCAUUUUACAAUCAUUAUCCUGGCAUAAUAAUGAAUAACCCCUUCUUU